AGCCAUUCAAGCUUUGAGGUUAGGAUCAGUAAGUUUAGGUUUUUGGCUAUGGUUUUGGUACAAAUCUUGUAUGGUUUGGAUUUUAUAUGAAGGAGAUAUAGGCGCUCAAAGUUAAGGUAUUGAUUUGGAAGCUAUUAUCACUUUUUUUUGGCAUAACACAUGCAUACGGAGGGCAAUUGAGGAUCGGUGUCUGCGACUGGAGAGAAUACUUUUGUAGCUACACUUUUUGCAUAUUUUUUACUGGAUUCUAAGUUGAAAUAAAGGAGUU
rnacentral:lncRNA from 1 species